rnacentral:rRNA from 1 species
UGGGAGGACCAUCUCCUAAGGCUAAAUACUCUCUAGUGACCGAUAGUGAACCAGUACCGUGAGGGAAAGGUGAAAAGCACCCCGGAAGGGGAGUGAAAUAGAACCUGAAACCGUGUGCUUACAAGUAGUCAGAGCCCGUUAAUGGGUGAUGGCGUGCCUUUUGUAGAAUGAACCGGCGAGUUACGAUUUGAUGCAAGGUUAAGCAGUAAAUGUGGAGCCGUAGCGAAAGCGAGUCUGAAUAGGGCGUUUAGUAUUUGGUCGUAGACCCGAAACCAGGUGAUCUACCCUUGGUCAGGUUGAAGUUCAGGUAACACUGAAUGGAGGACCGAACCGACUUACGUUGAAAAGUGAGCGGAUGAACUGAGGGUAGCGGAGAAAUUCCAAUCGAACCUGGAGAUAGCUGGUUCUCUCCGAAAUAGCUUUAGGGCUAGCCUCAAGUGAUGAUUAUUGGAGGUAGAGCACUGUUUGGACGAGGGGCCCCUCUCGGGUUACCGAAUUCAGACAAACUCCGAAUGCCAAUUAAUUUAACUUGGGAGUCAGAACAUGGGUGAUAAGGUCCGUGUUCGAAAGGGAAACAGCCCAGACCACCAGCUAAGGUCCCAAAAUAUAUGUUAAGUGGAAAAGGAUGUGGCGUUGCCCAGACAACUAGGAUGUUGGCUUAGAAGCAGCCAUCAUUUAAAGAGUGCGUAAUAGCUCACUAGUCGAGUGACACUGCGCCGAAAAUGUACCGGGGCUAAACAUAUUACCGAAGCUGUGGAUUGUCCUUUGGACAAUGGUAGGAGAGCGUUCUAAGGGCGUUGAAGCAUGAUCGUAAGGACAUGUGGAGCGCUUAGAAGUGAGAAUGCCGGUGUGAGUAGCGAAAGACGGGUGAGAAUCCCGUCCACCGAUUGACUAAGGUUUCCAGAGGAAGGCUCGUCCGCUCUGGGUUAGUCGGGUCCUAAGCUGAGGCCGACAGGCGUAGGCGAUGGAUAACAGGUUGAUAUUCCUGUACCACCUAUAAUCGUUUUAAUCGAUGGGGGGACGCAGUAGGAUAGGCGAAGCGUGCGAUUGGAUUGCACGUCUAAGCAGUAAGGCUGAGUAUUAGGCAAAUCCGGUACUCAUUAAGGCUGAGCUGUGAUGGGGAGAAGACAUUGUGUCUUCGAGUCGUUGAUUUCACACUGCCGAGAAAAGCCUCUAGAUAGAAAAUAGGUGCCCGUACCGCAAACCGACACAGGUAGUCAAGAUGAGAAUUCUAAGGUGAGCGAGCGAACUCUCGUUAAGGAACUCGGCAAAAUGACCCCGUAACUUCGGGAGAAGGGGUGCUCUUUAGGGUUAACGCCCAGAAGAGCCGCAGUGAAUAGGCCCAAGCGACUGUUUAUCAAAAACACAGGUCUCUGCUAAACCGUAAGGUGAUGUAUAGGGGCUGACGCCUGCCCGGUGCUGGAAGGUUAAGAGGAGUGGUUAGCUUCUGCGAAGCUACGAAUCGAAGCCCCAGUAAACGGCGGCCGUAACUAUAACGGUCCUAAGGUAGCGAAAUUCCUUGUCGGGUAAGUUCCGACCCGCACGAAAGGCGUAACGAUUUGGGCACUGUCUCAACGAGAGACUCGGUGAAAUCAUAGUACCUGUGAAGAUGCAGGUUACCCGCGACAGGACGGAAAGACCCCGUGGAGCUUUACUGUAGCCUGAUAUUGAAAUUCGGCACAGCUUGUACAGGAUAGGUAGGAGCCUUUGAAACGUGAGCGCUAGCUUACGUGGAGGCGCUGGUGGGAUACUACCCUAGCUGUGUUGGCUUUCUAACCCGCACCACUUAUCGUGGUGGGAGACAGUGUCAGGCGGGCAGUUUGACUGGGGCGGUCGCCUCCUAAAAGGUAACGGAGGCGCUCAAAGGUUCCCUCAGAAUGGUUGGAAAUCAUUCAUAGAGUGUAAAGGCAUAAGGGAGCUUGACUGCGAGACCUACAAGUCGAGCAGGGUCGAAAGACGGACUUAGUGAUCCGGUGGUUCCGCAUGGAAGGGCCAUCGCUCAACGGAUAAAAGCUACCCCGGGGAUAACAGGCUUAUCUCCCCCAAGAGUUCACAUCGACGGGGAGGUUUGGCACCUCGAUGUCGGCUCAUCGCAUCCUGGGGCUGUAGUCGGUCCCAAGGGUUGGGCUGUUCGCCCAUUAAAGCGGUACGCGAGCUGGGUUCAGAACGUCGUGAGACAGUUCGGUCCCUAUCCGUCGUGGGCGUAGGAAAUUUGAGAGGAGCUGUCCUUAGUACGAGAGGACCGGGAUGGACAUACCUCUGGUGUACCAGUUGUCGUGCCAACGGCAUAGCUGGGUAGCUAUGUGUGGACGGGAUAAGUGCUGAAAGCAUCUAAGCAUGAAGCCCCCCUCAAGAUGAGAUUUCCCAACUUC